AGCCUCGUGGUCUAAUGGUAACGACACCAGUGGACCUUUACAUGUAGAAAGCUGGAGAUUGCGAGUUCGAUUCCCGCCGAGGCAG